rnacentral:rRNA from 1 species
CCUACGGGGGGCUGCAGUGGGGGAUAUUGCACAAUGGGGGGAACCCUGAUGCAGCGACGCCGCGUGGGUGAAGGAACGUUUCGGCGCGUAAAGCCCUAUCGGCAGGGAAGAAGAUGACGGUACCUGGCCAAGAAGCCCCGGCUAACUACGUGCCAGCAGCCGCGGUAAUACGUAGGGGGCAAGCGUUAUCCGGAUUUACUGGGUGUAAAGGGGGCGCAGACGGCAAUGCAAGCCAGGAGUGAAAGCCCGGGGCCCAACCCCGGGACUGCACUUGGAACUGCAUGGCUGGAGUACAGGAGGGGGAGGCGGAAUUCCUAGUGUAGCGGUGAAAUGCGUAGAUAUUAGGAGGAACACCGGUGGCGAAGGCGGCCUGCUGGACUGUGACUGACGUUGAGGCCCGAAGGCGUGGGGAGCAAACAGGAUUAGAUACCCCAGUAGUC